UUUAAUCAAUGUUUGGAGUGGCUUUCUGAAUUUACAAUGUGUUGUUUAUAAUUUCUUUGUUUAUUGUUAUUGGUGAUUCCAGAUUGCUGUCAUACAAGUUACCAUUUCCUCUCCCAUUGUGGCCGAGCUACACAUUCUCUUCGUUUUAUUUUAAACAUAAAACAUCUAGAGGAGAAUGGCACCUACGCUGGAAUUCAUUCAAAUUCUUCCUGUGAAGAAAUCCUGAACGAGCGUCAAAGGUUGAGAUGAAGGCAAUCUACGAUGAGUUCCAAAACUCAUGUAUGAACUACUUCUAGAUUUCAAGUUUUUUUUUUUUUUUUUAAUCUCAAUUUAGGACUUGGACUGAACAUGCAGCAAAAAAAAAAAAAAGUAGUUUCCUCAAACGGGCACGUGGC